ACAGUGUUAGGGGGAAGACAGAUGUAGCAGAGCUCUGUAUAUAGCGGUUCAGGGAAGACUGGUGUAGCAGAGCUGUAUAUAUAGUGGUUCAAGGAAGACAGAUGUAGCAGAGCUGUAUAUUUAGCGGUUCAUUCAC